GUAAUUAAUAUCGUAUUUCAGGUGGUGGCGAGGAAAUUGGAAACGUUUAUCAACCAAUCUAACUUGUAGCUCCUACCUUGUGAGUGGAUAAAACUUAUUUUUCAGAAAUAAGUCUUCUUUAAAUUUUAAAGUUAUUUAUUUUAUAAAGUUUACUUCAUAGCAUGAUUUUCACAAUAAAAUGGAUUUUAUUAUCAAUUGCUUUUAAAGUUAAAUUCAGUUCAGUUAAAUUAUUCUAGUAGCAUGUUAUAUUCUUAUUACAUGUUUCAGUAUAGUUAAAGUUAUUUCUAAAAAUCACCAGAAAGUACCCAUUUAAUUUUACCCCAGUUUGCACUGAUGUGAAUGUGUUUCCACAGUGUAUGACUAAUUAUGGUGAUUUUACUUGCUCUGCACUAUUGUGAAUGUAUUUUCAUAGUGUAUGACCAGAUUAUCAGAGGUCUUUGGGACCCACUCUCGUACACACAUAGGCUUUUACCCCAGUUUACACUGAUGUGAAUGUAUUUCCACAGUGUAUGACUAAUUAUGGUGAUUUUACUCGCUCUGCACUAUUGUGAAUGUGUUUCCAUAGUGUAUGACCAGAUUAUCAGAGGUCUUUGGGACCCACUCUCGUACACACAUAGGCUUUGGGCCGUGUACUAGGGUGAUUAGCCUUUGGGGCAGCUCUGCGUACGUAUGACCAGAUUAUCAGAUUUGAAUGGCUUUACUUUGUACAUCGAGAUUACUCUGUACAUGUGUAAGACUAUUCAUUGGGUACUCUUUAUGGUGUGAUUUUUCAGUAUUUAUUCAGUUCUCAGAUUUCAGAUUAUGGAAGUCAGUUAAUUCAGUUUUCAGAAUAAAGCUUUUAGCUUUUACUAUUGAGCAGCAGCAAUAUUUCAUAUAUUUUCAUGAAUAUCAAAUUCUUUAUAUUUGCUAUUCUCACAGAUACUUAUCUAGAAUUUAGAAUAAAGAAUUUUAUAAUAAAAUCAUGUUUAGUUUUUAAAAGUAUUACUAGAUUCAGAAAUUCUCAAGGAUUUAAUAAAUUUAAAAUUUUUAGAAAAUAUGCAUAAAUAGAAAAAGUUUACUUAUUUGCAAAUCAUCCACUCACUGAGUUACAAACUCAUAUUUUUGUCAUGUUUUUCCUAUCAGGAGACCGUUGAUUUUUGAGAUACUGGGAAAAGUCUGCUGAAGCCAAAGAGACAGUUUCAUAGUAUGUAAUGUAUAGUUGGAGAACUCAUGUUUAUUAAGUACUUGUCUAAUAUUUGGUGUGUCAUGCACUUCGUAGAAAGGUUGGUAAUUGAUGUAAUGCUUGCAUGUUGACAUGAUGAUGUUGUAGAAGCACUCAGUCGAAUUUUGUUAUAUUUUGUAGUAGUUGUGGUGGUAUUAGAGGAAGUGGUGGUUUUCAAAACUUUUGGUUUAAAUGUCUAUUUGAGAUUUUGAUGAUUUUUCAGGUUGGUUUUGUCAAUGUUACAGGGGGAACUCUGUCAAAAUUUUUAUAGAAUUAUAUCAUGGUCAAGUAGGUCACGUUUGCCUUGGUGGUGGGUCCGACAUUUAGCUGGCAUCUACCAUCGGC
rnacentral:lncRNA from 1 species